GACAGCGGCGAUAUUAGUUACGUUGAGUGCACCAGUCCACAAUAGAUCACUGAAGUUAAGAAACAUUGCAGGUGAUUGGAAUCCGGAUGGGUGACUAUUUGGGCAAUCCCGUACUGCUGGCU
rfam:Asian citrus Psyllid, Diaphorina citri - Florida Strain, whole genome shotgun sequence.